rnacentral:rRNA from 1 species
GAUGAACGCUAGCUACAGGCUUAACACAUGCAAGUCGAGGGACCGGCGCACGGGUGAGUAACACGUAUCCAACCUGCCCUUUACUCGGGGAUAGCCUUUCGAAAGAAAGAUUAAUACCCGAUAUAAAGGAUGGGGAUGCGUUCCAUUAGGUUGUUGGUGAGGUAACGGUGCACCAAGCCUUCGAUGGAUAGUGGUUCUGAGAGGAAGGUCUCCCACAUAGGAACUGAGACACUGUCCAACCUCCUUCUGGAUGCAGCAUAGAGGUAUAUUGGGCAAUGGGCGCUAGCCUGAACCAGCCAACUAGCGUGAAGGAUGAUGGCGUAUGGGUCGUUUACUUCUUUUAUAGAAGAAUACGGAUUAUAUGAAUAAGGCUCGGCUAACUCCUUGCCAGCAGCCGCGGUAAUUC